rnacentral:rRNA from 1 species
GACGAACGCUGGCGGCGUGCUUAACACAUGCAAGUCGAACGGUGAGGCCCUUCGGGGUACACGAGUGGCGAACGGGUGAGUAACACGUGGGUGAUCUGCCCUGCACUUCGGGGUAAGCCUGGGAAACUGGGUCUAAUACCGGAUAGGACCACUGCCUGCAUGGGUGGUGGUGGAAAGCUUUUGCGGUGUGGGAUGGGCCCGCGGCCUAUCAGCUUGUUGGUGGGGUGAUGGCCUACCAAGGCGACGACGGGUAGCCGGCCUGAGAGGGUGACCGGCCACACUGGGACUGGGAUACGGCCCAGACUCCUACGGGAGGCAGCAGUGGGGAAUAUUGCACAAUGGGCGCAAGCCUGAUGCAGCGACGCCGCGUGAGGGAUGACGGCCUUCGGGUUGUAAACCUCUUUCAGCACCGACGAAGCGCAAGUGACGGUAGGUGCAGAAGAAGGACCGGCCAACUACGUGCCAGCAGCCGCUGUAA